rnacentral:lncRNA from 1 species
UGGACUGAGGUAUGUUUUUCAUUUAUACUAGAGAAUUUGAAUGGUAAUGAGUGGCAUGGGCAUUAACUUCAUUGAAAUUUAUGCAUCGCAGUAUAACUCAAAAGAGGUUCGCAAAGAGCUAACCUUGAAAUUCAUAAGGAAUGGAUACAACAGCAGAUGACAAAUGAUGUGUAGAAACAUAAAAAAAAGAUUAAAGAAUAAGAAACUGGAAAACAAGAUUGAAGAGCCUCAGAACAAUCAAGAGACUGAGAAGCGCGGAAAGAAUGUACAAGUCCUGAAGCAAGUGAAGAUUGAACCAACUGAGAGCAACACAAACGGAAAACCACAAGUGCACAGAACUGUAAAACCUCGCAACAGAACCGUAAAACCUCGCACCAGAAAGAGUAAUGUCCAAAGUGUCCGCUGUAGCCGUUGGUAGAACCUAUGUCCCCUUAUUGUAAAACCUCAUGCUCUCACAUGCGAUGUGUACUAUAUUACUAUGUAUUAACUACUUUAUUAUGUGUACAUUAUUCACAUGAGAUGUGUACUUUAUUACGACAUAUUAACUACUUUAUUAUGUGUACUUUCUUGAGAGGUCUACCUGUUUAAGAAACCUUGUCUGCUUAUUUACGAGUGAGGGUCUACUUUUAUUGUUACACAAAAUAGUCUACCUGUUAACGAAGCUUGGUUUGCUUAUUUACGAGUACGGGUCUACUUUUUCUGGUGAGACAAAAUGGUCUACAUGUUUACGAACAACUAACCUACCUGUUUUGUGAACGUGGUGUAUCAGCGCUUCAAACGAUUGACUCACCCUACGAGUAGACCAAGAAUAAAGUGUCCAGAAUUCAACGACAUUUAAAGAAUUCUUGAUAGGUCUACCUAUUUACGAAGCCUGGUCUGCUUAUUUACGAGUACAGGUCUACUUUUUUUGUGAGACAAAAUGGUCUACCUGUUUACGAACACUAACCUACCUGUUUUGUUGACGUGGUGUACCAGCGUUUCGAACCACUGACUCACAGUACGAGUAGACCAACUCUAAAGUGUCCAGAAUUCACAGACACUUAAACAAUUUUUGAUAGGUCUACCUGUUUAUGAAGCCUGUUCUACUUAUUUACGUGUACGGGUCUCCUUUUUUUUUAAACUAAAAUGGUCUACCUGUUUACGAACACAAACGUACCUGUUUUGUGAAUGUGGUGUACCAGCGUUUCGAACCACAGACUCACAGUACGAGUAGACUAACUCUAAAGUGUCCAGAAUUUACAGACACUUAAACAAUUUUUGAUAGGUCUACCUGUUUAUAAACAAUGUUCUGCUUAUUUACGAGUACGGGUCUCUUUUUUUAUGUGAGACAAAAUGGUCUACUUGUUUACGAACACUAACCUAUCUAUUUUGUGAACGUGGUGUAUCAGCGCUUCGAACCAUUAACUCACACUACGUGUAGACCAACUCUAAAGUGUCCAGAAUUCACACACUUGCAGAAUUAUUGAUAGGUCCACCUGUUUAAGAAGUCUGGUCUAUUUAUUUAUGAGUACGGGUCUACUUUUUUUGUGAGACAAAAUGGUCUACCUGUUUACGAACAGUAACCUACCUGUUCUGUGAACGUGGCGUAACAGUUCUUCGAACCACUGACUCAAACUACAACUAGACCAAGAAUAAAGUGUUCAGAAUUCACAGACACUUGAAUAAUUCUUGAGAGGUCUACCUGUUUACGAAGCCUGGUCUGCUUAUUUACUAGUACGGGUCUACUUUUUUUGUGAGACAAAAUGGUUUACCUGUUUACGAACACUAACAUAUCUGUUUUGUGAACGUGGUGUACCAGCGCUACAAACCACUGACUAACACUACGAGUAGACCAACUCUAAAGUGUCCAGAAUUCAUAGACACUUGAAGAAUUCUUGAUAGGUCUACCUGUUUACCAUGCCUGGUCUACUUAUUUACGAGUACGAGUCUCAUUUUUUAUGUGAGAAAAAUGGUCUACCUGUUUACGAACACUAACCUACCUGCUUUGUGAACGUGGUGUACCACUUCUUCGUACCUACGAGUAGACCAAGAAUAUAGUGUCCAAGAUUCACAGACACUUGAAGAAUUCUUGAGAGGUCUACCCGUUUUUGAAGCUUGGUCUGCUUCUUUACGAGUACGGGUCUCCUUUUUUUUGUGAGACAAAAUGGUCUACCUUUUUACAAACACUAACCUACCUGUUUUGUUGACGUGGUGUAGCAGCGCUUCGAACCACUGACUCACACUACGAGUAGACCAACUCUAAAGUGUCCAGAAUUCACAGACACUUAAACAAUUUUUGAUAGGUCUACCUGUUUAGGAAGCCUGUUCUACUUAUUUACGUGUACGGGUCUCCGUUAUUUUUUUGAGACAAAAUGGUCUACUUGUUUACGAACACUAACCUACCUGUUUGGUGAACGUGGUAUACCAGUUCUUCGUACCUCUGACUCACACUACGAGUAGACCAAAAAUAAAGUGUCCAGAAUUCAUAGACACUUGAAGAAUUCUUGAGAGGUCUACCUGUUUACGAAGUCUGGUCUGCUUAUUUACGAGUACGGGUUACCUUUUGUUAGUGAGACAAAAUUGUCUACUUGUUUACAAACACUAACCUACCUGUUUUGUGAACGUGGUGUAUCAGCGACACUAACCUAGUAGACCAAGAAUAAAGUGUCCAAAAUUCAACGACAUUUAAAGAAUUCUUGAUAGGUCUACCUGUUUACGAAGCCUAGUCUGGUUAUUUAUGAGUAAGUGUCUAUUUUUUUGUGAGACAACAUAGUCUACCUGUUUAUGAACACAAACCUAUUUGUUUUGUGAACAUGGUGUACCAGCGCUUCGAACCACUGACUCACAGUACGAGUAGACCAACUCUAAAGUGUCCAGAAUUCAAAGACACUUAAAGAAUUCUUGAUAGGUCUACCUGUUUACCAUGCCUGGUCUGCUUAUUUACGAGUACGGGUCAACUUUUUUUGUGAGCCAAAAUGGUCUACCUGUUUAUGAACACUAACCUACAUGUUUUGUGAACGUGGUGUAUCAACGCUUCGAACCACUGAUUCACACUAUGAAUAGACCAAGAAUAAAGUGUCCAGAAUUCAACGAUAUUUAAAGAAUUCUUGAUAGUUCUACCUGUUUACGAAGUCUAGUCUGGUUAUUUACGAGUACGGGUCUACUUUUUUUAUGAGACAAAAUGGUCUACCUGUUUAUGAACGUGAUGUACCAGCGCUUCGAACCACUGACUCACAGUAUGAGUAGACAAACUCUAAAGUGUCCAGAAUUCGAAGACACUUGAAGAAUUCUUGAUAGGUCUACCUGUUUACCAAUCCUGGUCUACCUAUUUACGAGUACGGGUCUACUUUUUUUGUGAGACAAAAUGGUCUACUUUGUUUACGAACACUAACCUACCUGUUUUGUGAACGUGGUGUACUAGCGCUUCGAAUCACUGACUCACACUACGAGUAGACCAACUCUAAAGUGUUCAGAAUUCACAGACACUUGAAGAAUUCUUUAGAGGUUUACCUGUUUACGAAGCCUGGUCUGCUUAUUUACGAGUACGGGUCUACUUUUUUUGUGAGACAAAAUGGUCUACCUGUUUAUGUACAUUAACCUACCAGUUUGGUAAACGUGGUGUACAAGGUUUACGAAUAUUAACCUACCUAUUUUGUUUGUUUACAUGGUGUACAUUAUCCUCCAUCAUACAUUCUGGAAAUCAAAACCAAGGCAAGGUAGAGGUCCUAACAGUUCCUAGUUGUUAAACGAAAAACAUAAUACACAUAAUAUCAUAUGGUGCUAUUUUUACAAACACAUGUGUCACACCCCAAUUUUGGUAAUUUUUUUUUUUGAGGUGUAACUCGUAUUCUAACUAUGAAAUAGAUUUUUCAUAAUUAGAAUAUGAAAGAAAUUAGAAAAGAAUAACUCAAUAAUAAACUGAAAUUUAUUCUUUAUUACAAGGGACUCCAAAAAGUAACAUUACAAAGGUAGACUAAAUUCUACGUCUUAUUCUAAAGGAAACAACACCACAUAUAUUUCACAUGUAAAUAAAAGAUUUUUGCAAGAAACCAACUUCAAACUACUUAUUCCUCAUCUGCAAAAUAUUUAAAGGGGUAAUCAUAAUAAGCCCAGUAAGAGUCAAAAACCUCUUCAAACAAAACAUAUCAUAAACAACUUUAACAAAAUGAAUGAAUGCAUAUACUAUAUACUUCAUAUAGUCCAUAUAACCGAAUAUACUAAGUCUACAUGUCCAAUACCAUGUACUUUACCACAAGGGUGACUUAGGAUACUCAUUUAUAUGAACUAUCUCCCACUCAAUCUCAAAUUCCCCUUUUGCUAGUUAUCUUGUCCAUUCCUCUUUCGCCAAACCCGCCAUUUUCACCUAUACUAAUUGCACUAUUCUUACGCAUUCACACGGGCAUCAUAGGAUAUGGUACCUCCGAGGACGAGGACUCAACUACACAAAAGUUUCAAUCCUAACUUCUUUACCCAAAGUGCUUUAUGCAUAGCACUACCAUUCCUCAUAUACCUUAGAUGAUAACAUCACCCUUAUAAAUCUAAACAAACAUAUAGAUGAUUGGCAACAAAGUCGGGUUCCAUUCUUCGCCGCCUCUGACCAAAAAAUCCCAUCCCUUCCCUUAAUCCACGAAAUCCACCUCUCAAUCCUACUUGCUCAGAAAGAUCCAUACUUGCAUGUUGCUGCAAUCACGAUAAUCUAUCUCUCGAUCAAUCAUUUGGAUCAAACAUGCCACAUAAAAGGGCCAUAAAUGGAAGAAACAUCCAAGAGGAGCGAGAAAUGGCUAUGAGACGGAGAGAAGCAUUUUUACUAGAAACGAUCAAGCGAAAUCUUCAGGCUAAAUAUGAGUCAAUUAAUACAUUUGCCCCUAUUGACGCCUCACCUUAAUGUUGCCGAGGUUGAUCCUUCUCCGUCUGUGAAAGAUCAAACUGCGCAUGAAGUCACAGGUAAGAUGGACAAAAUCCUGAAUCUAAUGACCUCUCUAAUUUCUCAAACACAGUAUGCGGAAGAGCCUCCCCAAGCAUCCCCGACGAAGAAAUUGAGGCCCACCUGAGAAGGACUGAUGUGAUGAUGGUUUAUGAAUGUAAGUCAGAUUUAGGAUGUUAAAUGUAGAUUAGUACUCUUAAGUUGUACGGUUCCCAUUUUGUAGAGCUUGUGUGUUCCUUUGAGGAUCUUGGUGUUACUAGUAGUACUAUAACUUGUAUAUGAUCGAUCCCAUGAUCGAUUGCCAAAUCCUGUUUUGGAAAACAUUUACUUUGUUGAAAUGCCAAGUCUACUAGUUUUAUGCCAAGGUCUACUAGUUUUAUGUAGAAGUAGAUUUCCUGAAGUAUUAUAACAAAGUAGAGUAUGCAUUCAAACCCCAGACCGACAUUAAUAACGAAAAGAUACUACAAUUUGAUAAGAUAAGAAAACGCAUCCAACAUUCAUUUUUCCUUGUGCUUAUGCACUUACAUACCAACAAAAAAAUAAAUAAGUACUUGAUAACACAUAAGCAAUUAAUACUCCCACAAACGUCUACAUUCGCUGGUGAAUGCUUGAUUCUGGAUCUUUGCAAGCCACGUUGAUGCGCACACAACCACGUCUGUUAAAUAUGGGGGGAGGUGCAUCCCUUAUGGCCUCCAACUCCAUAAUGGAUUUAGUGAGAUGUCCCCAGGCAGUGUGAAUUUCGAUAAGUUGCAUGUUGAUCUGAAAAACAUGUUGUGUAAGUUUUGCAAUCUUCUGUUCUUGAAGAGCAAAACAGUACUCGAGCUGAUGAGUUUCCCAUGGACUGUAGUUUCUACCACGAGUUCUUUCGUUUCUUCGAACCAUGAUACCCUACACACUUAUGAAGAGAAGUUAGAUAUGUGGGAAUCAUUGUUUGAAACACUGUAUUUAUAGAGGAAUGAAACUAAGGGUUAAGGUACCAAGGAGUCACGUCUUGAUUAGAGGAGUGGCCUCUUCAAGAUGUUGAAAGGAGUGUUUGUUUGUUUUUGAAAUAUUUUUUAAGAAACGAAAGGACUGCAGAUAGUGGGUACAUGGAAUUUGAAAGAGGUUUUCCUCAGCCUUAGUGUAUUGAUUUAAUGAGAAACC